GGGUAGGGAGACUGAACCAAGGAGACAGGAGAUGAAGAUUCCUCCAUGAACCAUUACAUUGGCCACAGAGAUGGGUCCAUGACAAAAUUUGUGUCAACACUUGUCAAUCCUAGGGGUUUUCUUUUGAGUUCUCAGGGGAGUAGACUCCCUGUGUAUCACUGACCAUGAAGCUGAACACAUGCAGUCCCAGGAGCUGCUGGCAGCCACGUGCCCACCAACAAUCAAGAGCUAAGAAUUGGGCAACAUCAUGGAAGGAAGACUGUGGGGAAAAAGAAACUGAGUCCCUGCUGAGGCUUGUUGCUUACCUGAGGCCAACCAUGCCCUUGAACUCUUCUCUUUUGUGAAGAGAUACAUUCUCUUUACUUUUAAAAAUUCAUUUUAUUGAAUCUUCUCUUCCUUGCAACCUGUAAAUAUAUUCAUAUUACAAAGUC